UUAAAGAUUGCGAGGGCGUACGGAGGAUGCCUUGGCUGAAGUAAGCGAUGAAGGACGUGAAAGACUGCGAUAAGCCUCGGGGAGCUGUCAAAUAAGCUUUGAUCCGUGGAUUUCCGAAUGGGGUAACCCUUGCCUUAAUGGCAAACCGUCAUCUGAAUACAUAGGAUGAUGUGGCAAACUCGGGGAAUUGAAACAUCUUAGUACCCGAAGGAAUAGAAAACAAUUGUGAUUCCGUAAGUAGUGGCGAGCGAAAGCGGAAGAGUCUAAACCUGAUACCAACACUGCAAAUAAGUGUAAAAUAUUUGUUGGUAGUGUUGGUAUCAGGGGUUGCGAGGUGACUUAACUCGUUUAAUCGGGGUGAAAAACGAUUUUUUAGUAGAACGUCUUUGGAAAGAGCGAUCAAAGAGGGUGAAAGUCCCGUAUACGAAAAAAAAUCUUUUUUCUUGAGGUCAUUCUCAAGUAGGGCGGAGCCGGUGAAACUCCGUUUGAAUCAGGGAGCACUAAACUUCCAAGACUAAAUAUUACUUCAGACCGAUAGUGAACUAGUACCGUGAGGGAAAGGUGAAAAGUAUCCCGAAAGGGAGGUGAAAUAGACCUGAAACCGUACGCCAACAAAGAGUAGGAGUCCCGCUUUUGCGGGAUGACUGCGUACUUUUUGCAGAACGGGCCAGCGAGUUUGAUCUUUGCGGCAGCUUAAGGGGCGAUGCUCUGGAGGCGCAGUGAAAGCGAGGCUUAAUAGGCCGAUUUGUCGCAAGGACAAGACCCGAAGCCGGGUGAGCUACGCAUGAGCAGGGUGAAUCUCGGGUAAUACUGAGAGGAGGCCCGAACCCACGCGCUGUGCAACACGCGGGGAUGACUUGUGCGUAGGGGAGAAAUUCCAAUCGAACUCGGCAAUAGCUGGUUCUCUCCGAAAUAGCUUGAGGGCUAGCGUUUCGUUAAUUAGCUACGAGAGGUAGAGCUACUGAAUGAGAUUUCGCGGUUCGCCGUAGGAAUUUCAAUCAAACUCCGAAUGCUCGUAGUGGUAUCGAAGCAGUCAGAAAUCCGGGGCUAAGCUCGGAUCUCAAAAGGGGAACAGCCCAGAUCGUAAUCUAAGGUCCCCAAGUCCAUGCUCAGUGGUAAAGGAAGUGAAAUUUCUCAGACACCUAGGAGGUUGGCUUAGAAGCAGCCAUCCUUUAAAGAGUGCGUAAUAGCUCACUAGCUUAGAGAUUUCGCGCCGAAAAUGUAACGGGGCUUAAGCAUGGCACCGAAGAUACGAAAUCGUUUACGUCUUAUUUUAAAUAAGACGUAAGUAUUCAUUUUUUUAUAAAUGAAUAUGUUUUUUGUUUUGUGUAAAAUAAGACGUAAACGAUUGGUAGGAGAGCGUUCCUUGUGCACUGAAGUCGUAGGGGUGACCCGCGGUGGAGCGCAAGGAAGUGAGAAUGCUGGCAUGAGUAACCGCAAUCUUGGUGAGAUUCCAAGACGCCGAAAGUCCAAGGUUUCCCGGGCUAUGAUAAUCAUCCCGGGGUAAGUCGAUCCUAAGGCGAGGCCGAAAGGCGUAGUCGAUGGACAGCCGGUUAAUAUUCCGGCACCAAUAUAUUAUUCGAUGGAGUGACGUAUUGCUGUACCUUUUGCGCAUUAUUGGAUUUGCGUGGGGGUAUCGAGAAUGUGUGGUAGGUAAAUCCGCCACACAAUAAUUCGAGGUAUCAUCCGAAUCUCUUGCUUGCAAGAGAGAAGAAAAGGGAGCGCGGUACCGGGAAAAACUUCUAAGGUUCGUAAUAUAUUGUCCGUACCGAAAACCGACACAGGUGGACAGGGCGAGUAGCCCAAGGCGAAUGAGUGAUUUCUCGUUAAGGAACUCGGCAAAACAGCUAGGCGUAACUUAGGGAUAUGCCUUCCCCGCUCUUUGCUUGCAAAGGGUGGGGCGCAGCGAAAGAUCCCAAUCGACUGUUUACCAAAAACACAGGUCCCUGCUAAAGCGAAAGCUGAUGUAUAGGGGCUGACACCUGACCAGUGCUGGAACGUUAACGGGAGCGGUUCACGCCAAUCCCCGAAGCGCCAGUGAACGUCAGCGAUAACUAUAAUCGUUCUAAGGUAGCGAAAUUCCUUGUCGGGUAAAUUCCGACCCGCAUGAAAGGUGUAACGAGUUGGGAACUGUCUCAACGAGAAGCUCGGUGAAAUCGCAGCGGGGGUAAAGAUGCCCCCUUCCUACGGCAAGACGAAAAGACCCCGUGGAGCUUUACUACAACUUGGUAUUGAAUAGAAAUUUUAGUUGCCGAGCAUAGGUGGGAGACUUUGAAACUUUGACUUUGGUUGAAGUGGAGUCGCCAAUGGAAUACCACUCUGCUGAAAUUUUUAUUCUCACCCUGGGCCGUUAGAUAUACUUAAACGGAUCCGAAGGCUGAGAGUAAGCAAAACGAAAUAGGUAAUUUUUCCAACAUUAAGCAUGGAAAAUAUUUUUUUUGAAUUAUUAAGAUAAAAGAUUUUUUCUUUUAUCUUUUCUUCCAGUCUUCACUCUUUUUUGAGUAUAACUACCGGUCCGGGGACAGUGCCUGGUGGGUAGUUUGACUGGGGCGGUCGCCUCCCAAAAAGUAACGGAGGCGUUUACAAAGGUUGGCUAGGAGCGGAUGGAAAUCGCUCUGGUAGUGCAAACGCAGAAGCCAGCUUUACUGAAAGACUUACAAGUCGCUCAGUCACGAAAGUGGAAGUUAGUGAACCGACCAUCACAUGUAGGAGUGUGGAAGAUCAUCGGAUAAAAGUUACCCCGGGGAUAACAGGCUUAUCGCGCCCAAGAGUUCAUAUCGACGGCGCGGUUUGGCACCUCGAUGUCGGCUCAUCACAUCCUGGGGCUGGAGAAGGUCCCAAGGGUUUGGCUGUUCGCCAAUUAAAGUGGUACGCGAGCUGGGUUCAAACCGUCGUGAGACAGGUUGGUUUCUAUCUGCCGUAGGCGUCCUUGCUUGAAGGGAGUCUUUCCUAGUACGAGAGGACCGGAAAGAACGAACCUCUGGUGUAUCGGCUGUCGCGCCAGCGGCACUGUCGAGUAGCUACGUUCGGACGGGAUAACCGCUGAAAGCAUCUAAGCGGGAAGCCCACCUUAAGAUGAGGCAAGUUUCGGCGUUCGCGCCGAAAACAUUUCCUGAAAGAUGAUCAGGUUGAUAGGCUCCAGAUGUACGCCCUGCAAGGGGUUCAGUCGAGGAGUACUAAUAAAUGUAAUAAUCUUUAAAA
rnacentral:rRNA from 1 species